UACGUAGGUGGCAAGCGUUGUCCGGAUUUAUUGGGUUUAAAGGGUGCGUAGGCGGCCCUGUAAGUCAGUGGUGAAAUACUCUAGCUUAACUAGAGGGGUGCCAAUGAUACUGCAGGGCUUGAGUACAGAUGAGGUAGGCGGAAUUGACGGUGUAGCGGUGAAAUGCAUAGAUAUCGUCAAGAACACCUAUAGCGAAGGCAGCUCGCUGGGACGGUACUGACGCUGAGACGCGAAAGCGUGGGGAGCAAACAGG
rnacentral:rRNA from 1 species